AACUUCUUUGCUUCACUAUUGUCUUGAAGCUCCACCGUUGUCUCAUUGGGCGUCUCCUCUUUCUCUGCUCCAAAUGCUUCUCCUCCUCCCGCCAUCUUCCUCCCUCUUCGCCUCCAGAUUCAAAGCACAUGGAUUCCCCACUCCGGGCCGCCUCGACCGCCAGCGGAUGCCUCUCCUUCACACCCCUCGGCGGCGGGGGAGCCGGCUGCCGGCGCUCGCCAGCUCUGACGACGUCGACGCCUUCACCAAGUACUCAGGCUAUCUCUUCGAGGGCGGCGUGUCAUCCGAGGCCGAGUUCCUGGACGCGUACGACCUGCCGUUGAUCACCUCCAUCUACCGCCGGAAGCCCUUCCUGGUCUUGCGACGAUUCCUCCAGAUCAGCACCACCUUCGGCCGGUGGGUCACGGUGCGGUACCUCGACAGCGUCUCGGAUCGCUCGGAUGAGAUGUUUAAGACUAGGGCGGCCGAGCUGCGCGCAAUUUUGCUGGAGCUUGGCCCGGCAUUUGUAAAAAUUGCUCAAGCGGUUUCAUCACGACCAGAUGUGAUUCCACCUGCAUAUUUAGAGGAACUGUCAUUGUUGCAAGAUCGCAUAACUCCCUUUUCAACUGAGAUUGCCUUCAAUAUGAUAGAGAAAGAGCUCGGACAACCAAUAGAUAUUCUUUUCUCUGAAAUCUCACCAGAGCCAAUUGCUGCAGCAUCUCUUGGACAGGUUUACCAGGCUAGACUUCGUUCUUCUCGAAAAGUCGUUGCAGUGAAGGUACAAAGACCUGGAGUUCAAGCAGCAAUUUCAUUAGACAUAUUUAUCCUGCGUUACAUUGCAGGGUUUGUGCGGCGAGCUGCCAGGCUUAACACUGAUCUUCAGGCUGUGCUGGACGAAUGGGCAUCAAGUUUAUUUCGGGAGAUGGAUUACCGUGCUGAAGCAAUGAAUGGACUAAAAUUCAGGAAGCUAUAUGGAGGACUACAGGAUGUAUUUGUACCAGAAAUGUACUUAGAACAAAGUAGUCGCAGAGUCCUCAUCAUGGAAUGGGUGGAUGGAAAUAAAUUGUCGGAGGUCAAAGAUAUUUAUCUCAUUGAGGUAGGAGUAUAUUGCUCGCUUUCUCAGCUUUUAGAUUAUGGAUUUUAUCACGCGGAUCCACAUCCUGGAAAUCUUCUGAGGACAUCGGAUGGGAAGCUAGCCUACUUAGAUUUUGGAAUGAUGGGCGAAUUUAGGCAAGAGCUUCGAGAUGGAUUUAUUCAAGCAUGUCUUCACAUGGUUAAUCGUGAUUUUGAUGCUCUUUCAAAUGAUUUUAUUACUCUUGGUCUCCUUCCUCCAACUGCACAGAAGGAUGAAGUUACCAAGGCAUUAACAGGUGUUUUCCAAAAUGCUGUGAACAAAGGAGUUCGAAAUAUAAGCUUUGGAGAUUUGUCGGGAAAUCUUGGACGAACCAUGUACAAAUUUAAGUUCCAAAUACCAUCUUACUUUUCUCUUGUCAUUCGAAGUCUUGCUGUUCUGGAGGGCAUUGCAAUCAGUUUUGAUCCAAAUUACAAAGUCUUAAGUAGUUCAUACCCAUGGAUUGCAAGAAAAGUUCUCACUGAUAGCUCACCUCAGCUGCAAUCUACCUUGCAGACUCUCCUUUAUAAGGAAGGAGUUUUCAGGAUUGAUCGUCUAGAAUCAUUGUUAACCGAGUCACUUCGUGCGAAGACCGAACAAUCUCUUGUUAGGAAAGAAGUGGAAGAUUCUGAUUCAAAUAAAGCAAUAAAACAAGUACUCUCAUUCACAUUGACUGAAAAGGGAGCAUUUGUCAAGGAAAUACUUCUGCAAGAAUUUGCUAAGGGAAUAGAUGCACUUGGCUUAGCAACUUUGGAAACUUUGACAUCUGCUGCUGCUGCAAGGUUGCCUUUUACCAUUGGAUAUUCAUCAUCCUUCAUGGAUAUUGAGGACAUUGCCAACUUGAGAACUCUAAAUCGCCUUCUUCUGCUGCUAUCCAGACUUCAGAAGAAUGAGAAUCCAAAUUCAGAAGUAAACUAUGCAAAUUCUGGAGAGAACAAAAAUGCUUCUGUGGAGGAGCUAUCUCUCGUUCUAUAUCAAAUGACAUCUGCACAGGAUAUUUUACCAAUUCUUUCUGUCAUUCCUGAGCUUCCUUCAGAGUCGCAACAACAACUGGUUCGUCUACCAGCAGAUUUAGCUGGGAGGCUGUUGUCUCGUGUGGUAGCAAGAUCUAUCAGACGGAUUUUUGUAUAAGUUGCUUCCAAGGCUCAUUAUUUGGCUCGCCUCCAGAAAGGGAUUAAAGGGACUCAAAGUGAUGCUUCGACUUGUUUAUUGGAUCCAUGGUUUUGUUUUCUUUGGUAAUCCCAACCACUGCAAGGUAAAAGAUGAAACCAUUAUAAACUGGGAUAUGGAGUGGAACAUUUCAUCAGCAUGGAGAACUAGAAUCCACUGCAAGGGAAGUCUAAAUCAACUGCUGCCGCUUGAAUUUGAGUCACACCAGAUAACCUAUCAGUUUGGUAUUGACUUCAAUCAUUCCAUGUGGAAAAUAUGGUUUUGAGACUACAUUAUGAGAAGAUAUUUGAUCACCUGUGAUGAACAUAUCCAUUGUGGGGUAUGCUUUCCCUGCUGUUGCUCUUAACAGUAAAUUGUUCUCUUGGUAGUAAACAUGGUGCAUCAAAGAAUCUGAUUCAUGAACAAUAUUAUCCUGUUCCCUUGUUGAUCUGCGCUAUGUUGCAUGGCUCCCAUUUCAAGUCAAACUUUGCUGGAACAGUAUACUCUCUCACAUCAUGUCCUAUUAUGAUAGUUGGAUAGCAAUGAAUUCCAAAAACUUUUUCGAGUUAUGUAACUGGUUGGUCAAGUGAAUUUUCUGCAAGAAUUUGUUUGGUAUAAGUUGGCAUCAGGAUCCCUUCUCAAGUGAAGGAAGAACAAAAAUACAUGGAACAUAUGCACUCUCCUGCAUAGAGAAUUCUGAGUCAAUUUCUUGAAAGAAUCUUCCAGGAAAGCUGAGUCGAGUCUAUCUCAAUCAUCAUUGAGAUAGAUGAGUUGAGCUCAUCUCAAUUAUUUGGUGGCCAUCUUAUACUAUAUUUUCUCUUCCUAACCUCUUCUUUUCUCACAAAAGUUUUAUGAUCCCAAAUCCUGCAUA